UAUCCAGGGGGAGGAGGAGCAGCUUGAGGACUUUGUAAUCCAAUUCAGCCAUGCUGUGGCGCCCUUCGGAGCUAAGAUAGAGACCUGCUGGUCCGGAUUUCUGUCAGCGCAGAAUAGGUCAGAGGUGAACUUGGAUGUUGACGCUCAGGAGCCAGCUGACCCGUUUUUUGGAGGGACCAGGCUGGGUUUCAAAAAGAAGGCCAUAAAGCACCAGCUUCUGGAACAGGCCACACGUCCCAGGAACAGGCCACACGUCCCAGGAACAGGCCACACGUCCCAGGAACAGGCCACAUAUCCCAGGAACGGGCCACAUAUCCCAGGAACGGGCCACACGUCCCAGGAAUGGGCCACAAGUCCCAGGAACGGGCCACACGUCCCAGGAACAGGCCACACAUCCCAGGAAUGGGCCACAAGGCACCAAUUCCAAGAACAGACUAUACACCCCAGAAACAAGGUCAUAAAACCCUCUCCCAAAGAACAAUCUGGGGAAUAACCACACAAAUGGGGAAAUAGCCUAUCUCAGAAUGGGCCAUCUGUGUUGGGCAACCAGAUCUCAUUCUAUGGUUAAGCAGUCAUGACAUAGGAAUGCAGACCACUGACUGCCUGUGAAUCCCUAGCACCCACCAAUGAAAUUUUAGAUUACCUAACCUUUCUAGAGAGUUCACCAGGUUUCCUAUAAGAAGGUCCGAGAGCCUUUUGUCUGGGGUCAGUGUAGGCAUAAAUUUCUUGAAACCUACUUUUAAUAAGGGUUUAACCUCUCCUCUAGCCCACCACCCAGUAGAGGUAGUUAGAAAAGUUAUUAGGAUAUGGAGGAAGUUCUUUGGGGGAGAUUGCAGUGUUCUUUCUCAGCAAUUCAGUCCCAUAUCAAACAACAAAUACAACUCAGCAGCUGCAGACCAGUCCUCUAGGCAGGCAGACAGCACACACAAACUGGCAGAUACUGUCCAGUCCUUUGAGCAGGCAGACACCAGGCAUGAACCAGCAGCUGUAGUUCAAUCCUAAAGAAGCCCUUGCCAGUCUCACCAACAGACAAGGCCAUGGAAGUGGCAGGCUGCUGCAGGAAACUCAUGAGCAGUCUUGGUGAGUUUCUCUCAAUGGCAGCAUUACCACAAAUUGACCUCAACCACGCUGUAUAAGGCGAACCAAUACAUGCCUGUCAUUAGUGAAGAAUAGCAAGGUGGAACAAACCAA